AUGGUCUCGGAACAGCUUUGUGCAUAUGAAUUGAAGCAAAGCAAGAAGAAGUUGAGGUUUGAAAGUGACUCAAAAGAGUUUGCAGAGAAGGAGAAGCAGAGGAGAGCUGCAGAUGGUGCCAAGGGUGCCAAAUUUGUCAAAGUGAAGCAGCCUGCUUUGCAGAAGAAGAGGCUAGGUUCUGUUGUUGAGGAAGGUGGUACUCCUCGACGGAGUCCAUGUGUUGCUGGCAUGAACAAGAAUCUUGGUUAG
rnacentral:rRNA from 1 species